UCAAUCUUUCUCAUUCCAAAAAUCAGACGCAAGACUACUCUUAUUCCAACAAUCUUCUCUUCGUCUCUUCAACUAGUGUAGUAAUCUCAGGAACUUUGAAUUAUAGUUACAGGCACUGUCGACCUAAAAAAGUAAGUGUAUGCUAUUUUUACUUAAUACAUUCAAUGCAUAAGCUAUUACUUUAUACGUAAUUGACAAAAAUUAUUUGUAUGUGUCAUUUGGAAUGAAUGAAGUGUUCUUUGUGUCGCUGUUAAGCGAUUUAUGCUCAUCGCAUUAGUAAUACCAUGAUAUAAUUUAUGUCAUUUAUGUUUGUCGUGCAAGCUUUGAACGAGAAAUUCUGUGCUUUUCAUUAUCUCUAUCUGGUAUCUGGUGUUAGAUCUAAAUAACCAAUGAACAAAAUUUCCUUAUAAAAAAUUUGUGAAUCAUAAUAGCUCUUUUACCUCAGCAUUAUUAAGGUAAAAGUAUCAAUUCUGGGAUGAAAUUAAGACAAUAUAAGACAUCUAAAACAUCCUCUCUUUGAACAUUCUAUUGUCAAUGAUUCAAGUGGUAUUUCAUCGUCCUUUUAAUGCCACAAGAGGCUCAUCUUUCCCUCUUCAAAGAGAUUAUAAAGUACCAUUUUUUAUUCUCAAUAUAGCCUAUAACACUAUGUUUAAUCGUGAUUGUGUGCACAUUUGCCUAGGCCUCUGCCUCGUCUCAGUUGGUAAUUAAUUUAAUUUGACAAGUUUUCAGAUAAGUUAGAACUUGAAAUUACGAUGCAAUAACAGAUACCAACUAUUGUUAAUCUGCUUGAGUACAACCUCCAAUAACUGAAAGAUGGAUAAUCACAUAAGAAAAACUACUGCCAUGUACUAAAUUCAGGAUAAAUAAAUUCACUUUCUUUCUUGGACAUAUUGACGUAUUCCUUCUCCGCCUUUAUAAGUAUACAAGGCAGCGGCUCCAGUAAAAGUUAUUUCUAAACUAAGAAGAAGUGGCAAUGACAAGGACCAAAUGAUUUUAACAGUUGAAAUAAGUUUGCUUAACAAUUUUUAGUUUUGUGUAUGUUUUAAGAGUAAACUAUUCUUUUAGGUCCCUUUUCAGUUUACCACUCUUGAACUAGAUCUUAUACUUUUCAUUUACCUUGUGUAAUUUUUAAGAACCUACUUAGCACUUAAACUUGUCCAAAUUAGAGUCUUACCCAGUUUAAAGAAGUUUUAUCCUCUCUGAGACAUCAUAUGAAGUCGGGAGUAUUUGUUGUACUACCCUGUAGGAAUUUUAAUAUGCUUUCGGAUUACUUUAAUUAUAUUGGUCCGAUUGGCAGUUUGAAAACUUUAUGUUUAUAUCGUUCAAAUAGAAUGCAAGAGUUGCAUUUUUUUUUGUUGUGGACUGUGGAGUUUUUGCUGAAGGAAGAUCAUGAUUCAACAUUAUCAUGACGGAUUAAUUUGUGAGAAUGAGAAUCUAUUCAGUUUACGAUUUCACCAUCCAAUUGCUAUAUGAAUUCCCUUCUACAUCUGAAGCUUCAGACAAAAAUAAGUUAUUUUUUCAUCAAAUGAAUUUCCUUCUACCAGAAGAACUUCAGUACAGGAAAAAAUAUUUAUUUAUAUUCUUUUGGAUUAUAUAAAAAGUAAUCUAGCUGAAAUAGAUAUGGUUUGCUCAAUAACCUCUACCAUGUUUGUAAAGCUGCAUAAGAUUUUGCUAAUAAAAAUAUAGAGCAUUAAUUAGGGUGCUCAAAGCGGAGGCAUAUUAUAGUGAAUAAUGAGAGAUUUCAUACUCGUGAAUCAUCAUAGAAUUUCUCUGUUGUGGAAUUCAAACAUCUCUUCUUUCUUUUUUUUAUCUGCAUGACUAUCCUCUGAUGAGAAAGAGUCUAAAAGGAGUGAUGAACUUCCACGUGCUGAAACAAUACCUUUGCCAUUGUCCAAUUCAGUAGAUGAAUACUGUUGGGAGUGUCCAAAUGUAUGCCUUCUACGUUUUUCAUAAUAGAUGUACUAAUGUAACUUUUAAGCGAUCGCACUUUCCCUAAUUUCAUUUGAAUUUUGAGUUUGUUA